GAAACCUUGAAAUAAUUUCGGUGUUGUUCUUGGCAAGUUGUUACAAUACUGUGUCCUUAUAAAAAUCAUUUAAGAAUUUAUGUGGUGUGAGUCUACUUUUCAUCUGCUGCUUUUUGUUGCUAUCAACCUCCCUCCCUCCCGCUGCUCCAGUCCUGUGGGAAAGACCAAGAUACCCGUGCAGUGAGAUGCUGGUCGCCUGAGCGGGUUCGUCAGGAGGCACUGUUUAGCUUGGCUCUGACUGCUGAGAGAGAGGACCCAUUUCUGGAGGAGAUGUUUGAAAACUCUAUCUGGACCUGGGCCACAGAGAGCAAGCGAAGUCCUAUCAGGAGGGUGAAGGACAGGGGAAGCUUGGAGCUGGCCACAGAACUGGGGUAGGUGUGAAGAGGGGAGAGUGGAGCCAGUGGAAGCUGGAAGGACCCUGGCUGUGGCAGCCCAAGAUGCAGCCUUGGUGUGGAAGUGGUGUGAGGAUGCAGUCUGGGCUAGUUCAGAGCUCUUCUCCUCUCGGCUUCUCCUGGCAGGAGUCACCAUAGGCAAUAAUGCCAGGAAAGCUAGCGUGGAACAAAUCUGUCUCUUCCAAGCCUCUGUGAAAGCAUCAGGGAGACAGAGAAAAUGCUGCUGCAAACCGAAAGAAUACAUGCAAAAUGUGAGGCUGUUCAGUCAGCCAAAUAUCUCUGCAAAUUACAUGAAUGGUUUCUUUCCAUGGGCUAGGCUUUCUCCUCAAAUUACCACAGUCUGAGUGACCAGAAAUCUUCCCCAGUGUUUCCUUGGUCUUAUAUUUGCUGUGUGGUACCUGAGGGAGGCUUGCAGAAAUGGUUUCAUUGACUCUCAGUGGGGAAAAAUGCUUGGUACUGGAAAUAAGCCCUUACAGAUGAUGCCUCAAGCUAUUCAGUAGUAGUCCACAAACUCUCACCUGCACUUAACUGGUGUGCAGCCUGGGGAGUACCCCUUCCUCUCCUGGCAUCUACCCAUGUGUAUGUGCAGUGUCAGGCACACCCCAACACACCCAUGAAAAUGUAAAUGUGCAUACAUAUAUGUAAUUUAACUCCCAUGUGCCUAUCCACAAACGCACACCAAAGAGCUUGCUUCUGUGCCUCUCAGUAUGUU